AUGGGAAAAACCAUUGUUUCACUUGUUAUAGUUCUCCUUGUUGUGCCAAUAUUUCUAGAUGGUUACAAUGUUGAGGCAGAAAAAAGAUAUAAUCAACUGAAUAAAGAUGAUGGUAUUUACAAAUCUCAAAAGUUUAGAAAUUGUAUAGAUUGUACGACUUUGUAUAACAUGUGUUUGGCUACUCCUUACUUUUGGACUGUGUAUCAUAGGUUUUGUCCAUUUAACGAUCAGACUAAUAUCGCACCUUAUAGCAGUGAUGCUCCUACACCUGAGAGUGGUCCUCUUUUAUGA